UAGGGAAUCUUCCGCAAUGGGCGAAAGCCUGACGGAGCAACGCCGCGUGAGUGAUGAAGGUCUUCGGAUCGUAAAACUCUGUUAUUAGGGAAGAACAAAUGUGUAAGUAACUAUGCACGUCUUGACGGUACCUAAUCAGAAAGCCACGGCUAACUACGUGCCAGCAGCCGCGGUAAUACGUAGGUGGCAAGCGUUAUCCGGAAUUAUUGGGCGUAAAGCGCGCGUAGGCGGUUUUUUAAUUCUGAUGUGAAAGCCCACGGCUCAACCGUGGAGGGUCAUUGGAAACUGGACAACUGGAGUGCAGAAGAGGAAAGUGGAAUUCCAUGUUUAGCGGUGAAAUGCGCAGAGAUAUGGAGGAACACCAGUGGCGAAGGCGACUUUCUGGUCUGUAACUGACGCUGAUGUGCGAAAGCGUGGGGAUCAAACAGG
rnacentral:rRNA from 1 species